rnacentral:lncRNA from 1 species
UUGCGUACAAGUAGCACCGAUGAAGAGUAGAGGUUGAAACUUGGCCGAAUAACUCCUGUUUUGAGCAUCUCUUUUACAAUCCUUUCUAUUUCAUCCUUCUGGAGAUGUAGAUAUUGAUAUGGCCGAGUAUUUGCUGGAGGUUUGCCUGAAAGAAUCGUUAUAUAAUGAUCAUGCCGACGGGUAAGAGGUAGGUUGUACGGUUCGUCAAAUAUAUCUAAAAAUUCAGCAAGCAAAGGAAGUAGGUUUGGAUCUUCAAAUUCUAUUGGCUCUCCCUUAGUUUGCUGCUCAAGUUGUACCAAAAAGCCGCUGCAUGCUUUAUGCAAAACCUUCUCCAUUUGUUGUGUGCAAAUCGUUAUUAUGUCGCCCCCAUGUUUCCCAUGCAAUGUCACCUGUUUCUCCUUACUGUAAAAUUUCA